rnacentral:sRNA from 1 species
AUAUAAGUGCGUUAGGGAUAGAAGCGACAUCCUUUUUUUCAAUUACCAUUUGGCAAUUGCAAAAAAGAUAUAGUGGAUAGCCCGUUAAAAC